CCACAGCUACAACCGCUCGUUUUUGAGUUUUGAAGCACUGAAUAAGUCACUCAUAACGGCGAGUCUAAGUGCAAUA
rfam:Marinilactibacillus sp. 15R, complete genome.